GACAAUAGUGGAAUUGUGACAAGGCUUACAGUGUAGUUAGUAGGAACUGAUGGUGGAGGACGCCCACUAAUUCAGGCUUGGUAUAUUUUGACCAUCUGUCAUUUUAACCUAAGACCUCUUGUUUCAACUCAGAUUCUGAUUCAACAAUUCCUUUUGAUGAAUCAAUAGCCCCUGUGUUCAAGUCUUCGCUAGCCAUGGCUACCUUGCUCUUUGAUCUUGUACUGUAUGGAUGAGUUACUUAAAAACCACAACCAACCACCCUUAUGCUCAAUGAAGAUUACA
rnacentral:lncRNA from 1 species